rnacentral:rRNA from 1 species
AGACGGGGGGGGCGAGCGUUGUUCGGAAUUACUGGGCGUAAAGGGCGCGCAGGCGGCUUGGGAAGUCUUGGGUGAAAGCCCCCAGCUCAACUGGGGAAUGGCCUGAGAAACCACUAGGCUGGAGUGCUGGAGAGGGAAGCGGAAUUCCCGGUGGAGCGGUGAAAUGCGUAGAUCUCGGGAGGAACACCAGAGGCGAAGGCGGCUUCCUGGACAGACACUGACGCUGAGGCGCGAAAGCUAGGGGAGCAAACGGGAUUAGAUACCCCAGUAGUCC